AUACUUACUUGGCAGGGGAGACACCAUGAUCACAACGGUGGUUUUCCCAGGGUGAGGCUUAUUCAUUGCACUCCAGAUGUGUUGUUGCCUGUGAUUUCCCCAAAUGUGGGAAACUCAACUGCAUAAUUUGUGGUUGUGAGGGACUGUGUUUGUGCUCUCCCUUG
rnacentral:snRNA from 1 species